rnacentral:rRNA from 1 species
ACAUGCAUGACUCGAUUACUGGGCGUAAGCGCGCGUAGGCGGUUUGUUAAGUCGGAUGUGAAAGCCCCGGGCUCAACCUGGGAACUGCACCCGAUACUGGCCGACUUGAGUGCGAGAGAGGGAGGUAGAAUUCCAUGUGUAGCGGUGAAAUGCGUAGAUAUAUGGAGGAAUACCGGUGGCGAAGGCGGCCUCCUGGCUCGACACUGACGCUGAGGUGCGAAAGCGUGGGUAGCAAACAGGAUUAGAUACCCUGGUAGUCCACGCCGUAAACGAUGUCUACUAGCCGUUGGGGAACUUGAUUCUUUAGUGGCGCAGCUAACGCAAUAAGUAGACCGCCUGGGGAGUACGGCCGCAAGGUUAAAACUCAAAGGAAUUGACGG